GUCAAGGAGCUAAGUGUUAUAUUUUUUUAGCAACAAAAACACUUGCUAACUAUUUUGAGUUACUUAUCACAAAUGUCUAACUUGUUUUUUUUCACGUUUUUUUGGGUGGCUGCUUGUCCUGCCCUUUGCCUUUAGCACUGUCAUGUUGUCGUGCUCUGGUGGACCGUCUUGGUGGUGAUGAGACUGGCGUGAUAUUUGGAGUAGUCGUACCAGAACUGCUGCUUGUUUGCUGUUUGUGCAUGCAUCUGAGUGUUUCAUUCAGCAUCUUACACCCAAUGUCAUACUGUAUGGCUCAAGUGGACAUACAUAUCUUUACUGGAUGUGGACAAGGCCAUUUAGCUUGGAUUCUAUUUCAGCUUUUACUUACUGCGUUUGAUACUCACAAUCAAGAUGAGGGGAGUGUGGAUGACGUCUUGGAGGUGUGUCCAAAAUUUGGAGUGGGGGUACAGAACAUACGGACGAUAAUCUUCGUGGCGGGGUAGCCUGCUGUGUUUGUGCCGGGACAUACGACCUUGCUUUCUUUUCGGCCACAGGUUUUUUGUGGUGAUGUCUUACAGAAGUGCCACUUCUGCUGCUCCAUACUUCUUUUGAUGGACCUUUUAAUGAAAGUGCAAUUUUGUUAUGCCCAUUCCUUUACAAGCAUACCCUAUACUACAAUGGACACUUUGGGGUAUAUGCAAUUCACGGCGAAUCGCGGCAAUUUUUCGCCGUUUUUUUAAUUCGACUUAAUUCGACAGGUGAAUUCCGGAAGGUGGCUUCCGGAAUUCACCAUAUUCAAUGAAAAACGGAUUCGCCAGAAUCGCGGGCGAAAAUCGGCCGAUUUGGCGGAUUUUGCCGCGAUUUUAAA